UUAAGUUAUUAAGGGCGCACGGUGGAUGCCUUGGCACUAGAAGCCGAUGAAGGACGUUACUAACGACGAUAUGCUUUGGGGAGCUGUAAGUAAGCUUUGAUCCAGAGAUUUCCGAAUGGGGAAACCCAGCAUGAGUUAUGUCAUGUUAUCGAUAUGUGAAUACAUAGCAUAUCAGAAGGCAUACCCGGAGAACUGAAACAUCUUAGUACCCGGAGGAAGAGAAAGAAAAUUCGAUUCCCUUAGUAGCGGCGAGCGAAACGGGAAGAGCCCAAACCAACAAGCUUGCUUGUUGGGGUUGUAGGACACUCUAUACGGAGUUACAAAGGACGACAUUAGACGAAUCAUCUGGAAAGAUGAAUCAAAGAAGGUAAUAAUCCUGUAGUCGAAAAUGUUGUCUCUCUUGAGUGGAUCCUGAGUACGACGGAGCACGUGAAAUUCCGUCGGAAUCUGGGAGGACCAUCUCCUAAGGCUAAAUACUCUCUAGUGACCGAUAGUGAACCAGUACCGUGAGGGAAAGGUGAAAAGCACCCCGGAAGGGGAGUGAAAUAGAACCUGAAACCGUGUGCUUACAAGUAGUCAGAGCCCGUUAAUGGGUGAUGGCGUGCCUUUUGUAGAAUGAACCGGCGAGUUACGAUUUGAUGCAAGGUUAAGCAGUAAAUGUGGAGCCGUAGCGAAAGCGAGUCUGAAUAGGGCGUUUAGUAUUUGGUCGUAGACCCGAAACCAGGUGAUCUACCCUUGGUCAGGUUGAAGUUCAGGUAACACUGAAUGGAGGACCGAACCGACUUACGUUGAAAAGUGAGCGGAUGAACUGAGGGUAGCGGAGAAAUUCCAAUCGAACCUGGAGAUAGCUGGUUCUCUCCGAAAUAGCUUUAGGGCUAGCCUCAAGUGAUGAUUAUUGGAGGUAGAGCACUGUUUGGACGAGGGGCCCCUCUCGGGUUACCGAAUUCAGACAAACUCCGAAUGCCAAUUAAUUUAACUUGGGAGUCAGAACAUGGGUGAUAAGGUCCGUGUUCGAAAGGGAAACAGCCCAGACCACCAGCUAAGGUCCCAAAAUAUAUGUUAAGUGGAAAAGGAUGUGGCGUUGCCCAGACAACUAGGAUGUUGGCUUAGAAGCAGCCAUCAUUUAAAGAGUGCGUAAUAGCUCACUAGUCGAGUGACACUGCGCCGAAAAUGUACCGGGGCUAAACAUAUUACCGAAGCUGUGGAUUGUCCUUUGGACAAUGGUAGGAGAGCGUUCUAAGGGCGUUGAAGCAUGAUCGUAAGGACAUGUGGAGCGCUUAGAAGUGAGAAUGCCGGUGUGAGUAGCGAAAGACGGGUGAGAAUCCCGUCCACCGAUUGACUAAGGUUUCCAGAGGAAGGCUCGUCCGCUCUGGGUUAGUCGGGUCCUAAGCUGAGGCCGACAGGCGUAGGCGAUGGAUAACAGGUUGAUAUUCCUGUACCACCUAUAAUCGUUUUAAUCGAUGGGGGGACGCAGUAGGAUAGGCGAAGCGUGCGAUUGGAUUGCACGUCUAAGCAGUAAGGCUGAGUAUUAGGCAAAUCCGGUACUCGUUAAGGCUGAGCUGUGAUGGGGAGAAGACAUUGUGUCUUCGAGUCGUUGAUUUCACACUGCCGAGAAAAGCCUCUAGAUAGAAAAUAGGUGCCCGUACCGCAAACCGACACAGGUAGUCAAGAUGAGAAUUCUAAGGUGAGCGAGCGAACUCUCGUUAAGGAACUCGGCAAAAUGACCCCGUAACUUCGGGAGAAGGGGUGCUCUUUAGGGUUAACGCCCAGAAGAGCCGCAGUGAAUAGGCCCAAGCGACUGUUUAUCAAAAACACAGGUCUCUGCUAAACCGUAAGGUGAUGUAUAGGGGCUGACGCCUGCCCGGUGCUGGAAGGUUAAGAGGAGUGGUUAGCUUCUGCGAAGCUACGAAUCGAAGCCCCAGUAAACGGCGGCCGUAACUAUAACGGUCCUAAGGUAGCGAAAUUCCUUGUCGGGUAAGUUCCGACCCGCACGAAAGGCGUAACGAUUUGGGCACUGUCUCAACGAGAGACUCGGUGAAAUCAUAGUACCUGUGAAGAUGCAGGUUACCCGCGACAGGACGGAAAGACCCCGUGGAGCUUUACUGUAGCCUGAUAUUGAAAUUCGGCACAGCUUGUACAGGAUAGGUAGGAGCCUUUGAAACGUGAGCGCUAGCUUACGUGGAGGCGCUGGUGGGAUACUACCCUAGCUGUGUUGGNUUUCUAACCCGCACCACUUAUCGUGGUGGGAGACAGUGUCAGGCGGGCAGUUUGACUGGGGCGGUCGCCUCCUAAAAGGUAACGGAGGCGCUCAAAGGUUCCCUCAGAAUGGUUGGAAAUCAUUCAUAGAGUGUAAAGGCAUAAGGGAGCUUGACUGCGAGACCUACAAGUCGAGCAGGGUCGAAAGACGGACUUAGUGAUCCGGUGGUUCCGCAUGGAAGGGCCAUCGCUCAACGGAUAAAAGCUACCCCGGGGAUAACAGGCUUAUCUCCCCCAAGAGUUCACAUCGACGGGGAGGUUUGGCACCUCGAUGUCGGCUCAUCGCAUCCUGGGGCUGUAGUCGGUCCCAAGGGUUGGGCUGUUCGCCCAUUAAAGCGGUACGCGAGCUGGGUUCAGAACGUCGUGAGACAGUUCGGUCCCUAUCCGUCGUGGGCGUAGGAAAUUUGAGAGGAGCUGUCCUUAGUACGAGAGGACCGGGAUGGACAUACCUCUGGUGUACCAGUUGUCGUGCCAACGGCAUAGCUGGGUAGCUAUGUGUGGACGGGAUAAGUGCUGAAAGCAUCUAAGCAUGAAGCCCCCCUCAAGAUGAGAUUUCCCAACUUCGGUUAUAAGAUCCCUCAAAGAUGAUGAGGUUAAUAGGUUCGAGGUGGAAGCAUGGUGACAUGUGGAGCUGACGAAUACUAAUCGAUCGAAGACUUAAUCAA
rnacentral:rRNA from 1 species